rnacentral:rRNA from 1 species
GGGCGCAAGCCUGAUCCAGCCAUACCGCGUGGGUGAAGAAGGCCUUCGGGUUGUAAAGCCCUUUUGUUGGGAAAGAAAUCCAUCUGGCUAAUACCCGGGUGGGAUGACGGUACCCAAAGAAUAAGCACCGGCUAACUUCGUGCCAGCAGCCGCGGUAAUACGAAGGGUGCAAGCGUUACUCGGAAUUACUGGGCGUAAAGCGUGCGUAGGUGGUCGUUUAAGUCCGUUGUGAAAGCCCUGGGCUCAACCUGGGAACUGCAGUGGAUACUGGGCGACUAGAAUGUGGUAGAGGGUAGCGGAAUUCCUGGUGUAGCAGUGAAAUGCGUAGAGAUCAGGAGGAACAUCCAUGGCGAAGGCAGCUACCUGGACCAACAUUGACACUGAGGCACGAAAGCGUGGGGAGCAAACAGGAUUAGAUACCCUGGUAGUCCACGCCCUAAACGAUGCGAAUCUGGAUGUUGGGUGCAAUUUGGCACGCAGUAUCGAAGCUAACGCGUUAAGUUCGCCGCCCUGGGG